UGCAGUCGACUGAAUUUUGAUCCCUGGUAACAGGCUGGAGGAGGGCAGAGGCUGGGAAGUCAAUGCCAUUCACCUGAUUGAUGCCCAUGGGGUCUGUCUGGGUGCCUAGAGGAGGAGCAGGGAACAACUCAUCAGCAUCCAUUUCAGCUUCUCUCUGGGGAGCUGAUGGGAACAUUUGUGUGGUGUGUCCCAUUGGGCUUCCCUGGCCAGCAGGGUGAAGGCAGCUUUUCCCUGCCUGAAAGCUUAGUUCCAACAGCUUAUUGCUGCUUGCUUGGAGCUGGGGUGGACUCCAGUCUGGAGUGAAGAGGCCAGCUCUGGUGGGUCAGAGUGGGCAUCUCCAUCCCUCUUGCUAAUACUCUGUCACCAUCUGGAUCCUGGGGCACCUGGCCUAUCCCAGGAGACUAAGGAAAGCAAGAGGCAGCCAUUUGAUUGGACAAGUACAGGCCUGGAGUUUCAUCCUGUUAAGAGGGCACAGCUAGUGCCAAAGUAAUCACCUAAUACACAACCCCCAGAAGCAUUAUGCUGACAGAUCCUGAUGUUCCCCUUCUGUGUUUUCAUUGGAGCUGUGCAGUUAUGUCUUCAAUCAAAUGGAAAUAUGCUGUGAGAGAUGCUGAAUGGAAUUUUUUAAAAGGCAAUGAGGAUCACAGUGACUACUCCUUGCUGAUUUUUGGUGGGGAAGGAAUAGCAGGAAAAUAAACUAAACAUGAAAAAAUCGUUGUUUCUUCCACAUUGCCAUGUAAAGAUACUUUGCUUGCUGUGUUCUGUACACAUUUAAUCAGAUCAGUCUAGCUGAUAAAAUAAAAGCUCCCCUCCCCUGGCCCCAUG